rnacentral:rRNA from 1 species
UACGUAGGGGGCAAGCGUUGUCCGGAUUCAUUGGGCGUAAAGAGCGUGUAGGCGGCCGUACAGGUCAGCUGUGAAAACUCGAGGCUCAACCUCGAGACGUCGGUUGAAACCGUACGGCUAGAGUCCGGAAGAGGAGAGUGGAAUUCCCGGUGUAGCGGUGAAAUGCGCAGAUAUCGGGAAGAACACCCGUGGCGAAGGCGGCUCUCUGGGACGGUACUGACGCUGAGACGCGAAAGCGUGGGGAGCGAACGAGG